GGCCGGUUAGCUCAGUCGAUUAGAGUGUGGUGCUGAUAACACCAAGGUUACGGGUUCAAUCCCCAUUCAGUCCC
rnacentral:tRNA from 1 species